rnacentral:tRNA from 1 species
GCCUGGGUGGCUCAGUCGGUUAAGCAUCUGACUUGGGCUCAGGUCAUGAUCUCACGGUUCGUGGGUUCAAGCCCCAUGUUGGGCU